rnacentral:antisense_RNA from 1 species
AUCAUUUCUUCUGCUUACUACCAUCCUAAAUCAUUUUUCUUUAGUAAGAUCUAUUAGUGGGAAGCUAUUAAGCUAUUAAUGUAUCAUAUUAAUUGUAUUCAGAUAUUAAGUGAGGAGGUAAAGUUGCAUUCACAGGCCUUGAACUUUUCCACAUCUCGAUUUUUACCCAUCAUCUCUGAAUAGUUCCCUAAGGCAGCCUUCAAAUGGUGAUGUUUCUUAUAAUCCAGAGUUCAGAAGUGGCUUCUCUUCAAUCUUUCUGUGGAAUUCUAAACCAUGUGAUAAAGGAGCUGGUGAGCCAGAUUUCCUUCUGCACCAGAGCCUGUGGAAGCGCCACAGUGGAAGCAGCAGAGACUGGAAGAGCAGGCAAGAAGCUGGGAGCUUUGCACUGAACCAGGAAGACACCACAGCUCUUAGGCAAAGACCCGGAAAGGUGUCAACAUGGCCACACUACUGCUCCCACCUUGUCCUUACUUUCCUCAUCUCACCCCCACAGGCCACAGAUCAGCCCUGGGGUUCAGAGGGAUCCUGACGGCUACUCCUCAAGAUCCUCUCUGUUGUGAUUCAUCCCCCCCGGGCCCUACAGUUUCUCCUUCCUGACUCUUACAUUUCUUUGGAUGGCAUCAUUAUUGCUGGAGUGCAGUGAUGUGAUCUCGGCUCACUGCAACCCCUGCUUCCUGGAUUCAAGCAAUUUUCCUGCCUCACCCUCCCAAGUAGCUGGGAUUACAGUACCUGUCUCCUCCCAUAGUUAGGUGCCAAGCACUGUGGAUUCUGCCCCUCAGUGUCCAGACACCCAUUU